CGGCCGCGCCUUAAAGGGGCAACGCAGCCGGUGGGUCCCACCCCCGCCGCUCUCGGUGCGGCUGCGGGACAGACGGACGGACAGACCGCCCACCCCCGGGCGGGGAUAGCGGGGGGCGCCUGCAUGCACGGAUCCUGCCCCCGGGGGUGCUGAACCCAUCGGUGCACGGCCACUCCCGGGGCACCCCCCUCUCCGUGGGACCAAACCCCCAGUGAGGCCCAGGACAGCCCCUCAAGGUGCAGGACAGGAGGGAGCAGCUCCCACCUUCUCACGCAAGAAGGCCAGAAGAAGCUUGCAAAGGACCCAAACCCCCAAGCCCCCACAUCCUACGAAGGUCAAACAUUUCAACGCUGUGUGAACGCAGAGGAGGGUUCAGGUCAAAGCUGACCCGGUCACUUCCAGCGGAGCCGGGAGGUGGGCUGGGGGGUCCCCGGCUCUGCCUGUGCCGCUCUUGGCUGGCGGUGCAGAUCUGCUCGUAAAGCCAGCCUUCCUCGCUGUCACCUCCUCCUCCUCCUCGCCGCGCUGCCCCGCAGCACGCAGACACUCCUCCCAGCGCGUCGGCUCUUGCAGUUCCAAAAUGGAGUUUUACGACGCCAAAACAAAUCAUUCCUGCUUUUGCCCAGAAAAAGCCACUUUUCACCCUCAGCGCUUUCAGGCGUUUCCAAGGGGGAGGCUCACCAGAGCCCAGCCGGACCGAAACCGGCACUUCCGAACAGCAUCUUCCCCCUCGCCGUGGGGCAGGGGCUCAGCCCGUGGCUGGAAGCGGCGAUCAGAACAUUCCUGGCAGGAUGAGGCUGGGAUGCUUGGUGAGGAUCGGAGGGUUUCGUUUUGCCCAGUGAGGACCAGUUAGUGUCACAGACACAGACCGACCGCCCAGGGCUCGAUCCAGCACGUGCACAAAUCCCGAGUUACCGUUGUGCCAUCUGGCCCUCGACGAUACAAACGCACACGCUGCGCAUGGAAACCCGAGCUGAAAAAAAGAAACCCCGUAUUUUCACCCUGCCUUCAAGCUGGGUUCAUCCUCGAGCAGGAACCGCGUCCUUCUUUCCUCUCUCCUCCCAAACCAGCGACUCCAGAGCACGAGCUGUUCCUUCGCCUUGCUGCAAGAUCACCGUGAGCCGAAAGACGACGUGUGCGGCUGCGGGGAACUGCCAGUACCAGGAGACACCGAGGUGUGGUGGGACUUGCUCCUUCCCAGGCUGCUGAGUGAUGCUCCAACGGCUUUGUUUUUAUCCGGAAUCCGGGACAGAAAUAUUCUGGCAAGAUUCAAAUUGGCAAUCUAAAUCUUCCCUUUCUCCUCCCAGAGGGUAGCGAUCCACCGGCUUUUUCGUGCUAUCCUGGCGUUAUUUAAAUAAACUUAUGAAUGCAUUAAAGUAUUUCAGGAGGAACACGGGGUUGAAUUUCUGGUUUUGGAAUUGCAGAGCAAGCACAAGUGCAGCUUGCAGCCCGUUCCGUGGCGUGAGGCAGGACACAGGCAUCUUGUUUAAUCUUCAGCUUGCUUACUUGGGGGGGGGGGGGGACAAGUUUUUAUGACAGAACACACCCAACAGAUGAAAAUCAGCGGGUAAGUGAGCGCAGAGAGCAGCAAUUCCGGGGCGAGAUGGGCUGAAGGGGCCUUUGUGUCUUGUUUUUGCCUGGAGAAUGUGUGCCCUGUCCAACGGCAUCUGGGAGGACAUUUAAUCCAUUUGUAGCUUUGAAUUUCAAUCCAUGAAAUUCCACAUGGACUUCAUCUUCUCUUCUCCUUUCCUGCUCUCCCAUCAACCUGUUUUUUGGGGAAGAAACCGUGUUCCUGGCAGAGGAAAGGAACAGACCACAACCUUGUCUCGAGCGGCCUCACCAAUACACGAGUGGUGCAGAAGAAGUUUUAUCUCAAAACCGAUCUACUCGAAAGAAGAGGCAGACCCAACAGUUUGUCCAUUUGUUUAUUGUCAUUCAAAUACUAAAAAUCCCUCACAAUACAAUAUACAGUUAUUGAUUUCAGAUUCUUCCACCAUUGAGACUGGCUAUCAGGUUUUAGUGGGAAUUUUUUUUUUUUUUUUAGUUUUUGUUUUAUUAUCAAAGAUUUAGAGUCACAAUAAAUACAAGUGACAAAAACAUACCCUGCGCUGGUGUAACGUUACUCUGUUACACUCCUUUGUUAGGUGAUUAUAAACUUUUUUUUAUCUUCUUUUAAAAAAAGCACGAUGCAAAUUAUUUCGCUAAAUGCAAUAUACAGCAUAACUCUGCCUUAAGCAGACAAACACUACUGCGGUUCCUUGAGGUCUUUUUGCAUUUUAUAUAUAUAUAUAUAUAUAUAUUUUUAUAUAUAUAUAUAUAUUUAUUAUUUAAAAAAAAAUGCCUUCUGUGCCCCCUCCUCCUUCCAAAAGGAGGAAGUGAGAAAUGAGCCAAAAUAGGGUUUCUGACGAGACCUGCCUAAGCCUGCUCUGCUCUACUCCUGUAGCCCAACUCCCCCAUUUUCCAUUCUGAACUGUAUUUUGGUAAAUUUUCUUUUUUUUUCCUUAGUAAGCAAAAAAAUGUGACCACUAGGCUCUGAGAAUUCCAAGGUAAAGGAAUGGUUCUCUAAAAUGAUGAUAAAAAUAUCUAUAGAAAAAAUCCCGACCCCAAGCUAUCUCGAAUUUAAGAUUCACCAAGAGUCUCCCUAUUACAGCUGGAAUGCCAUGUACAGGAACCCCUAGAAUACAAAAAUUAGCAAAGUCACCCUUUACAAGAACUGGAAACGCUGUCCAAGUCAUCUGUGCUAGAAAAAUAACAAGUUCAACCAGGCCACUUGUGUUUCUGAGCAAAGGACUGCAACCUCGCCAACGCUCAGAAAUCAGCUAAUAAAUUAGGUUAUAUAAAAAAAUAAAAUUAAAAAAACCACACAGCUCCCAAAUUGCAACACGGGUUUCAAAUGAAAAUCCGGGGUUUAUUUCACAAGUUGCUAAAAUCUAAGUACAAUAGUCAUUUUCAUUAUUACUGUAUUAUAAAAUCUUGUAGUCGCAACGUCUCAAAGAAAGGUUAUAUGGCUUGCAAGAACCAACGCUGCUCUAACCCUCUCCCCAGGAGAGGGGGGAAGCAAGCAGCAUCUGAGCAAUGUCAAACCAGCUCAUGCAGCAGUUUGCAGCGAAGCAGUGGAGGGUCGGGGAAACGGGACAUGAUGCCGGAUACUCCACCUGAAUGAUACCGAUUUACGGGUUAGACUGUCGAGCAGCACGUUCAGUCUCUUGUUCUGAGGGAGCUUUAAGUAAAAUGGUCUUUUUUUCCGGGAGAGGGCCGAUGAGGUGACUUUCGGACAGCUCUGCGGCAGAACUAAUAGCCCUUACGGAGGCAGGAAUCCCAAACAUGACAGCAGUAGAAAUAAACCAAAGAUUUGUUCUUUAAAGCGAGCCUAAACCCCCCUCCUUCACACAAUUCCCCAAAAAUUUAACCUCUAGGGCGUAGUAACACCAUUAUGUGAAUAGUCCAUCUAAUUGAGCUUUUCUGUUUGCUUGUUGGUUUUUCAGGGUUUUUUUUCCCUGCAAGAAGGGGCACAUACAGAUGGGGAGGGGGAGAUUUGGAAAGGCUGUAACAAGUGUUUUAAGGACUAUCUAAACCUAGCGUGGUGCCUCAACUAGCCCAGUUCAACACUACUCAACUGAAUAUGCAGUUUUGACUACAAAGGAAGAAGCCAUUCUUCUGGCAUUUAACACAUGUAUACCACUUAAGUCUUUUCCUGGUGCAUUUAUCUAAAACUCUGCAGAAACACAUAUGCAAUAAAUAUAUCCUCUAACUUACGUGCAACACUCCAAGAACCACAGAUUAAAAACAAUGUCAAAACGGGUUUGAAUCCCGACAGCCUUAUAGCCACGUAGCACUUUCUGUUCACUUACAAAACCUUCAGAAUAAUUCUGUCUCAAUACCUAAGGUAGUAUUCGUGGGUUUUAUUCUACAUUAAAUGAAAACAGAGUGUGGUCUGGCAACAUUCUGUUUCUAAGACAGUGUGUGCAGACUCAUUUUUAUUUUCAGUUCCAAAUCUUAAAAUAAGUCUUCUCAAUUAUUUUAAGGCUUAUUUUAAGUCUCCCCUAUCCAUUGUGCUGAAAUGAAAAUUUACAAGCUGCUGUACUGAACUGGCGGUAUCCAAAAAAGUUUUGACAUGGCUUUUAUAACAGGCAAGUUUAAUACUUCUGCCUCUCUUUCCAUUCCUCUUCCUUCCAGCAUCAGCUGAAGCUAAAGCCACCCCAACACUGGAAAGAAAUUGUGAAGCUGUCCAGCCUUCCCAAAAAGGCAUUUGGAUUUUUAGUUUGAGAAGUUUUGCUUGUUCUUUUUAAACAAAUGCACUCUUCCCAGGUGAUUUAACAGUGCUAGACAUUUGCAUCAAUGAUGAGAUAAUGCAGGCAAUUUAUGACAAGAGAGAAAAAAAACCCCAAAAAAACUCCACACAAGUAAGGAGCUGAAACUUUUUCUUAAUAUUUCAAGGUGCAAAAAUAAAAUGCACUCAAUUUCUCUCUCCACAUCUCCCAAUCCAAAAUAUCUUGGAAUGAAAAGAAAAAUUAAAAACUCAAACCAAUUCCUCUCAUUCCCAUUUAGCUCUUAAUAUACAUUUGUAAAACAAACAAAAAACAAAGUCAAAUUGAAAUUCUAGGGCUUUAUACAGCAACAAAUACCAUUUUGCAAAACUAGGUUUUCUAUACUACCGAACAGUUUUCAAAGUAUCUAAAUACUGAUAUUCACACAACAGAAGAGGGGCUAAAACGGAACGAGUUUUCUUCUUCACUAUGCAAUAGUUAGAUCCGAAGGGGGACAACCCUAUACAGUUAUUGGUUUAAAGUUAGAUCUAACAGUAACUGCUAAGAAAAUAGAUUCAGCAUAGACUGAAUAGUAACCCCUUCCCCCUUUUCUUUUAUAUAUAGAUAUAUAGAUAUAUAUAUAUAAUUUUGCAAAUAAUUCUUAUCAGCACUACUUCUAGUACUGAUAUGCAACAUAAGUAGUAAGGCAUGUAUUUCUGCCACUUGAAUUCAACUUUAAUUUGGGAGAAGCACAGGGAAGGAGGAGGGAAGAUGAUGAGAAAAAAAAAAAAAACAAACAACAAAACAAAACAAAAAACCAAAA